GUUAAGGGUGCUUUUGUUAAAUAAUGUGUUAAUAUUGACAUAUUUAUAUAGGAGACUCUGAAGAAUUUCAAUUAAUUGCAUUGGAUAGAAGAGAAAAGAGUUUGCAUAUUUUUGGUAUCAUAUUUUUGGCGGCAGAAAGGGAGAGACCAAGAAAAAGUCCAAAUUAUGAAUGUUUUACUAAGUUUAAACUCUUAGAAAUAUGAUACCAGAUUUUUCGUCCAUGGCUCAUGAAACUAAAUGGACUUUGUAAUAUGUUCUAAUUUUGUAAGUAUAAUAAUAAUUUGCAAAAAGAUUUUAGCUUUUUAAUUUAAAAACUGACCUUAGAUCUAAUUAUAAUUUGCUAAAAUUAUAUGUAGACUUAGCACAUUUGCCACAUACCCAGAACCGGACAUUAACUCUAUCUAGUUACGAUCACUAAUUAUACGAUCACUAAUUAUAGUACUUUAUAUUUAGGGCUUUUUAAAAUAUGACUUAAAAUUUCAAGUCAAACACAAAAAUAAUACAUGUUUUUUGAAAUUUUAUUUUUUUCUAUUCACCCUAGAAGUUUGAUUUCUUCACGAAAUGCCAUUAUUAUUAUUAUUAUUAUUUUUCUUUUCGAAAAUGAGUAUUUUACCUUAUCAUCUUCAUCUUCACCAAGUAUUUACAAUAUUGUCAUUUCCAUCAAUACACCAACCACCAUGAACAACCAAUUUGACCUCUUAAUGCACCAAAAUUUCGAUUUUUACUCUUCAUAUCUCAUUACUUAUGCACACAAAUCACAUCUCUUUCACAUUCUCUUUAAAUUCAUCCAAAACCCCAAGAUUUUGAUUCCAAGCUUUGUAAGUUUCAUAGAAACAUUGAAGCUCAUGAUUCUUGGUCAUUAACGACUUGGUAGCUUUUGUAAUGAAUUGGUAGCUUUUGUAAUGAAGUUAUGGGGGCUUAGAGAAACUAAGCAAGUCAUCUCACAUGUGCAAAGUAUGAAAUCAUUUUUUUCUUAACAAAAGAAAGUUAGAAGACUUCUAAGGAAGUCUUCUUGAUGGAGAACACAUUUAUCGAAAUCUUCUGAAACUCUUUCCGAAGUCUUCUAAAAGUCUUUGCGAACAGAUCUGAAAAAAAGACGAUUUCAUACCUUUAUUAAUACAUACUUUCGAUUUUUUUCUCUUUCAAAAUAUAGUUAAUUUAAAAAGUUACCCACACAGAAUUAUUGCGACAGUAAGAAGACUUCGGGCCGAAAGAAGUCUGCGGAAAAACUUUCAGAAAACUUCUAUAGCCCGAGAAGACUUCUCGAGAAAUCUUCUAUAAAAAAUCAAAUUUCUUACAAAUUUUGGUCAAUUGCAAAACUAACAAGUAAAAGGAAAGCUAGAAGAUGAAUUGCACAUGUGAGAUGACAUGCAAAACUAACAUGUUAAAGGAGAACACAUCUAGCAAAGUCUUCUGAAAGUUUUUCCGAAGUCUUCUGAAAGUUUUCCCGAAGUCUUCUGAAAGUUUUCCCGAAGUCUUCUGAAAGUCUUUGCGAACAGAUCUGAAAAAAAAACGAUUUCAUACCUUGCACAUGUGAGAUGACUUGCUUAGCUUCUCGAAGCACCUAAAACUUCAUUACAAAAGCUACCAAGAGUCCGAUUGGUAUCUAGGUUGUUGAGGCUUUGUGGUUGUAUAAAGCCAUGAACGCCAAAACAUUACCAAUCAACUUUUUGUGGUUUUAAAAUUCGGUAAAGCCUUAAAAACCACUUUUUAAAAAAAAACUUUUUUUUCUUCAUUUUUCUCAACAGUCACUUUUCAAGGUUUUAAAGCUUUUUUUUUUUUAAUUAUUUUACAAAAACGUGGAUGGCUAAUUUUUUUGUAUUUUGUUCAUUUUUAGAUAUACAAAAUUUUUUUGUCUUCUUCUCUUAAGCUUCUUCAUCUUUUGAUUCUUCUCCAAAUAUUUCAUAACAUUGAAAACUCUUAUGCUCCUCCUUCUCCGUUUGUUUCCUCUCCUCCACUAAUUCAAAUUUGGCUUAGGUUGAAGAAACGGCAUGAGAGGUGGAGACAUGACGGUGUCUACGGUGAAGGAGGCGAAGGAGGUGGAUAGGAAAGCGGCAGCGAUGGUGUUGGAGAUAACAGAGGAAGAAGAAGAUGCGGCAGAGGUGGUGUUGGAGAUAGCAGAGGUCAAAGUUACGCCGGUGGUGGUGUUGGUAAGCCGGUGGUGGUUCGCAGCCGUCGUCAAAGUCACACGCGGUGGUGGUGGUUUUGAAUAAUAUAUACACAUGUAUUUAGUUUUGUAUUUUUAUAAUAAAUAUGUAUCUACAUUUUUAAUUUAAUAUAAUUUAUAUUUAUUUAAUAAA